ACUUUCAACAACGGAUCUCUUGGCUCUCGCAUCGAUGAAGAACGUAGCGAAGUGCGAUAAGUAGUGUGAAUUGCAGAAUUCCGUGAAUCAUCGAAUCUUUGAACGCAAAUUGCACUCUCUUCGGAGAGUAUGCCUGUUUGAGGGUCAGU
rnacentral:rRNA from 1 species